AUUGAACGCUGGCGGCAGGCCUAACACAUGCAAGUCGAGCGGGAACUUCGGUUCUAGCGGCGGACGGGUGAGUAAUGCGUAGGAAGCUACCCGACAGAGGGGGAUACCAGUUGGAAACGACUGUUAAUACCGCAUAAUGUCUACGGACCAAAGUGUGGGACCUUCGGGCCACAUGCUGUCGGACGCGCCUACGUGGGAUUAGCUAGUUGGUGAGGUAAUGGCUCACCAAGGCGACGAUCCCUAGCUGGUUUGAGAGGAUGAUCAGCCACACUGGAACUGGGACACGGUCCAGACUCCUACGGGAGGCAGCAGUGGGGAAUAUUGGACAAUGGGCGCAAGCCUGAUCCAGCCAUGCCGCGUGUGUGAAGAAGGCCUUCGGGUUGUAAAGCACUUUCAGUAGGGAGGAAGAGUUGGGUGUUAAUAGUACUCAGCUUUGACGUUACCUACAGAAGAAGCACCGGCUAACUCUGUGCCAGCCGCCGCCGUAACAC
rnacentral:rRNA from 1 species